GUACAUAAAAGUUACUUAAUAUUUUUACCUUCUAGGAUAUAGAAACUUUUUAUUGCCUUAGAAAGGCCAUAAAUUAUUAAAAUCAAGAUAAAAGAGAUAAAUGGUUGAUAUAGUUGAUACCAAGAUCAAGUUAAGGAUAGGAUUGGACUAAAAAAUCCUUAGGAUAGAUUAGAUUGAUACCCGAUGAUCGACUGUUGUCAUAAUACGCGAAGUCUUGCUUAAGAAUGCUCUAGGCACCUAGAUGUGGAAGGUAGAAUGGAAAUUGCUACAAAAAAAAAUCCUAAUUCUAAUAAAACACUUAUAAUUCUAAACAAGCUUUAAUCAAAUUCAGAGAAACGUCAAAGAAAUUACAAAGAAACAAUAAGAAAUAUUAAAGAAAUAUUAAAAUGAUUACAAAUAUAUCUCAAAUACAUCUCAAUUCAAUCUUAAUUUAAUCCUAAUUGAAAUCAUAUUGGAAUUCAUUCAAACUUUAGGCCAAAAAUUAACUAAAUCUUAAAUUCUAAAGAAAUUCAAAUAAAAUCUUAAAUUCUAAAUCCUAAAUCAACUCCUAACCAAAUCCUAAUCCUAAAUCAAAUCGUAAUCAAACUUUAAACCCUAAACUAAGCCCUAAAUCCUAAACCAAAUCAUAAAUCAAGUCCCAAACCCUAAAUCCUAAACCAAAUCCUAAUCAAAUCCUAAUCCUAAAUCAAAUCCUAACCAAAUCCUAAAUCCAAAACCAAAUCCUAAGCUUAAAUCAAUUCCUAACCAAACUCUCAAUCCUAAACCAAAUCCUUAUCCUAAAUCAAAUCCUAAUCCUAAAUCAAACCCUAACCAAAUCCUAAAUCCGAAACCAAAUCCUAAUUUUAAAUCAAUUCCUAACCAAACCCUCAAUCUUAAACCAAAUCCUUAUCCUAAAUCAAAUCCUAACCUUAUCCUAAACCCUAAAUUUUAAACUAAAUUCUAACCAAACUUUAAAUUCUAAACCAAACCUUAAAUCCUAAACCAAAUCUUAACCAAAUCCUAAUCCUAAAUCAAAUCCUAACCAAAUCUUAAAUCCUAAAUCAAAUCUUAAUCAAAUUUUAAACCUUAAAUCAAAUCUUAAAUCCUAAAUCAAAUUCUAAUCCUGAAUCAAAUCCUAACCAAAACCUAAAUCCUAAACCAAACCCUAGUAAUUUCUAUAACACAUUAAAACCUCAAUAACUAA
rnacentral:lncRNA from 1 species